rnacentral:lncRNA from 1 species
AGUCUAGACCAAUGACCUGCAGCAUCAUGCCCUUUGAAGAAGAGGCAAGUUCGGUCAUGAUGAAGAAGAAUCGAGGCGUACCCCCUUUUAACAAUAGGGAGCAGCUCGAGGCUGCAAAGAGGUACUGAUUAUUAAGGUGACUAUAUGAAAGGAUCACUCCAAAAUAACACAUACCAGAAUAGGAGUCCUGUCUUAACUGAGCAAUAUACACUAUGGAGAGAUCCUUCAAAACCCGUCGGGACGAAUAACAGAUGAAUUCAUAAAACUGUUCAUCUCUGUUAUCCUGAAUGGUCACUCAGACAACAUUUUACUCAACUAUAAAGGGGAACACUUAAAGUGCAUAUGAGAAGAGAAGAGAAUGACCACAGGAGAAAAUCAUCUCAGGUAAAACGAAAAGGCACAAAUGUAGAGAGUAAUUAAUCUUAGAAUAUUAAAGAGAAAAUGAUUAUGUCUGUGUUUGGUAUAAGAAAUGGUCCUUCCCUUUAUGAAGCUACGUAUUUGGGAUUUUCACUGAUGGUUUUCCUUCAAGAGUUUACAGUAUUACUUGCCUUUGUCAACCUUUUGUUUGGUUUUGUGAUCAAUGCCCAGUGUCCAUCAUUCUGAGGACAUAUGUGUAUGUUGAUUUAUACAAUUCAGGUACAAGAUGGUUGAAUAGGAAGCUAUUUAAUGAAAAGGAAAAUAUGUUCUCAGUGGUUAUACAUUAUAAAAGGAAGUAAAAAUCUGAUAGAAAAGUAUAAGCUCAUAGUUUAUUUUUAAUCUUUUCCAUAUAUCUAGUAAGACAAUAAUGUCAAAGUAUAUUUUGUAGUAAUAAAAGCUACAGCCAGUGUUUCCUCUUUCUUUUUUUUAAACAUAAAAUGUAUAAAUAUAUAAGGAAAUACUUUUACUACAAUUGGAUGCAUGAUUGUUGAUUAUUUACUACAGUUUUAAUAAGUAGGAGAAUGAUUUGAAAAUAAAUAAUGGUGAAAAUUUGUGUAGGCCAAAUUAUCUGUAUUAAACUGGAGAAAAUACAUUCUAUUUUUAUUUAUUUCAAAACAUGCCAAAUCAUGAAGUAAUUACUAUGCAGUAUUAUUUUUCACAAUGAAGAUAUAAUUAAGAAAAGCUAAAUCAUUUUAGAUAUGAGUGCAAUGAUUAACGAUUGUACAACUUAUAAUUUUGCUUCAGAUGAGCUUAGAAUCCUAAAAAUGUACAUGUAACUGGCUUCAUGUGUGCUUACUGGCUUGCUUUCUUACAGUGUAGUAGCUGACAGAAUUAAGAAUCAUUUAUUUCAUUUCAACCUGUUGAACAGAGGAAUUAUAUGUAGCUGUGUAUUUUGUUGAAAGGAUAUAGUUCUUGGGAAAUAGAUUUAAAUGUGUUUUGUUGAAAGGGAAUGUAUGCUCCUUGGUGUGAUAUAAGCGACUACAAAUAUUCCAGAAUAGCAGGAAUAACACCGAUCAUGUCAUUGAUUUUAGGGUUUUUUGAUACCAUAUCUUUUCCUCACUGCUGUAAAAGUUUAAUUUCAUCCCCACUGUAGGCACAUGUCUGUACAUCUAGAAUUUGUGGGUUUUGUGUUCUUUACCUAGUCAACAAGACCUCAUUUGUUUAUAAAAAGCUAUAAUGUGACUAAAUCUCAAAAAUCAUUAACUGAGUUUUAUGUGAAUAAAUACAGUCACUCUAGUGCAUAUACAGUUUAAUAACUUCCUUUUUAGUUGUAGACUUAUCAUACUAUAUCUGUGCCUCACAACAGUAUAAUUCAUAUGUACAUAUAUUAGGUUCUCAAUUAGGACAUUUUAACAACAACGUUAAAAUAUUCACAGUUUAAAACAAAAGCAAUCUUUAAAAAAGAAAAAAUCAAGAAGAAAAGAGAGAAGUAAGAAAA